rnacentral:misc_RNA from 1 species
AGAAGCAAAGAGAGGAACAAAAGUGGCCAAAAUCAUUGAAAUAUCAAACUUGAUGAGAGCAGUUGGAAGGCCACCAGCUAAGCGCUCUUUCUUCUAAAUUCCUUUCUCUCUUUCAUCAAAUCAAAAUACUAUUAUACUCCAUCAUAAAAUCCCAAUGGGUUUGUAAUUAAUUAAGGAGAUGGACAAAAACCCCAUCCAAAAAGAGUUAGAUUUUUUUUUUCUUUCUUGCAACAAAGGAAAGAUAUAUUAUUAAUACACUAUAUCUCUCCCAAAUAUCAAAUAUCUUAGUUUUAAGUUGGUUUUAGUGUAAGGAACUUGUAAGUAAGAAAUGGGCAUUGAGUUUGUUGAGUGUAUGUUUUAAAACAUUUACUUUUCUUUUUU